GCAGGUGGUGCCUCGUCGGUUGGGCUUGGCGCUCCCGCUGUACUUUCUCUUCCGCUCGCCAGGGUCGCCACCUCUGCCACAGGCCGACUCCCGAAGGUGGCAGAGCCACCGCGGUGGCACAACCUGUGGGUCUUCCUGCCACGCCGUCCACCCGACGACGCCUCCUUCGUCCUCUUGCUUCCGCAGCCGAGACCAGAGAGGCCGGAGACAAGAUGCCGGAGCUCCCUGAGCAUGGCUCUUCGGCGCGGGGAGCCACGACGCCACGACUCCCACAGUUCGGGACAUGAAGCGACAAGUGGCCGUCAAGCGAAGUGAAAGGAAAUAUGUGACCCCAGAAGCCACUGACAGCCCUUUCAGACGGUAAGGGAAGAGCCUGCCUGAGGAUGGAGCCAGUCCUGCACACCUUACCUGAAGCUUGACCUCCCCUGGACCAUUCAGCCAAAUGAGCCAAGAGAUCUGCUUUGUUAUUUCAGCCAGGUUUAGCACAAGAGCAAAUUAUGCCUUUAAAAAAGGAAGGUGAACAUUACAGGAAUUUUGAAAAUGAAAGUCCUCCCUAGUCUGCUAUUCCAAGUGUGGUUCCCGGCUUGGCCUCACCUGCAGAGUCUCAGACCACUCCCACCCUGACCUGCUGAAUCAGAUCCUGCAUUUAACAGGAUCCCAUGGACUCAAGCCACCUGGAAGUAUGAAGAGCUGGCAGCAACCCUCCUUCGCCCUGACCCCAGCCAAGACAAGUGUCACCAGGUUUGUGUGCAUGAGAGCCUUUUAAAAAGCACACUCUUCUAACCUCUCAGCAAUUAUCUGCAAUUUUCUAACCUCAUCUAAAGCCAAAAUGCUCGUCAAAGUCAUCCAGCAGGAAGCUAAUAAAGACCUCAUUAUCUAGUC